AAGUCAUUUUCCGGAGCAGAGGGAAGGGAAGGCAGAGUGUAUAACUGGGGGUGGAUGGGAAAGAAGAGGGCUUGAGAUGCAUAAUUAGUACCGCAGCAUCCGUGCUGGCUCUUCUCCUUUCUGUAAAGUAAAUCCCUAAAGGUUUCGUGUCCCUCUUUCUCAGAAAGCUGUGACAGGGACAUAUGCACUAGGGAGCCGGUAGAUGUGUGUGUGUGUGGGGGGGGGGGAAGCCAUCCAGCAGCAAGGAGCUGAUGCAGCUUUUCCUGGAGUCUUUGCACCGCUUCAACAUGUCUAGGCUGCUUUGAGAUUUCACACGAGUUACUAAAAUCAGUUCCACUGUUUCCAAACCGAAUCUCCAUUUUCGUUUCUUUCCUGAGGUCUUUUUAAGAUGAUGUCGGGCCACUGUUUUUUAUCUGUCUCUCAAAAAUAUUUACAUCGAAUGUCAAAUUGGGAGAUUAAAAGGGAAAUACAAUCUUUCCUAUGUGUGGGAGGUGAUGAGGUAUUUGCUGUUCUUGCCAUUGUCAGCCACAAUCACUAAGAGCACAUUCCCUUGGUGACAUCAUACAGACCAUGAGUUAUGUAAGUGCCUAGAUACGGGAUGCCACACCCAAGUGUGCUGUAUAGAACUAGACUCAAGUUCUGAGACACAGCACAAUCCUGAAUUCCCAAGAAUUAGGUUGUCAUAUUUUUUUGGCAUCUUUUCUCAUAAGGGCCAUAUAUCAAAUGAGACAUAAAGGUGAUUAUGUCACAUCAAAGAAACAAUUGCUAAGAGCACUUUAGGAAUUCUGUCAAAAUAACAAAUGUUCAAAGUAAAGGAGAUGAGAGUCUCCUGUUGAGGUACGGAUUUGAACUCAUGACUUCAGUUUGAGGUCAGGGUUUGAACCCAUGACUUCAGGAUUUUACUUUAGAUUAGAAAAUCAAUUUUCCAUCCUUUAUGAUAACAAUGGGCAAACAUUUUAGGAAAACAAGGAUAAAUGACAAUGAAAACUGCUGUUUUCAGUGAUGGAGAAAAGGCACCCACACUCCCUAAGAGGCAGUAUGCUACAGUGAUUGCUAAACACAGCUUUUCAACUGCAUUUGACUGAAGUUGUGGCAGGCGCCCAUUCUCAAUCUCCAUAAAGAUAUAAAUGUCAUUAAAAAAUUUAAAAUAGCAUUAACAAUACCCUGUACACUAUAAUUAAAGCACACUAAGAUCUAGAUAACACAGACACAAACCUAAUUUCCAUUGAGAUUUAUGAUAAGCUAGUAAUAAAAUCAAGGACAAAAGGAGAAACAGUAUACUGCCUCAUUUUCAUAGUGGUACAUUCUUCAUUCGGAAAACCAAACGUCAGUGUUUAUUCUCACUGAAAAUUAUUUGCAGGUAAAAAAUAAAUUCUUUUCUAAGCAUAUAGUUGCUGUUAAUCCUGGUGAUUCACAAAAAAGCACAUAUAGUAGAGACCAAGAAAUAAUAUUGCAAUGUAAAGAAGCCAUUUUGGUGGCUGGGAGACAAUCAGUUGGUAACCAUGUGCUAGUUGUGAAGUGGGAGAAUCUGAGUUGGGUUCCUGGACCCAUGGCUUGAAGCUGUGCAUAGUGGAGGCUACUUGCCAGUCCCACGCUGAAAUACAGAAACAAACGAAUCCCUAGGGCUCCCAGGGAUGCCAGUCAGGGCUAAUUGGUGAGCUCCAGACCAUGUCCCAAAGGCAAUCAACACAUAAGCUUGUUUCCCAAACCUACAUGUACCUGCUCACACAGCAGAUACACACGUCUUCCUGCAUAAACAUGAACAUGCAUGCCCAAACUCAUAUAUCACAUGCCCACAAGGCCAUUUUUAUGUUAAGAUAGUUAAGACGAACAAAAUGACUGUCCCCCAGUAUGUCUGAAGACACCAAGUUAAAGCAGAAAAGGGAAGGGUUUGGGGGAAAGAUGGAUGAGUAACAGCCCCAGACCUGUGAAGAAUGGGAGGAAAUGGGCUCAGAAUGUGCAGUAGUGUGAAAUUCUAUUACAGCAAACCAGAAAGGCAAUGCCCAGAAUUACGAGGAAGGAGUGAUGGAGACCCAAGUCCGUACUUGGUUUGGUGUUUUGUUUAGAUUAAUUUUAUUAUUUUUGUGUAUAUGAAUGUUUUGCCUGCAUGUCUAUCUGUGCAAUACAUGGGUGCCUGGUCCCUGCAUAUGGCAGGAGAGACCAGCAGAUACCUUGGGACUGGAGAUAUAGGCAGUUGUGAGCCACUAUGUGAAGUGACAGGUCCUGGGCAAGAGGGACAAGAGCUUUUAACCCCUGAGACAAAUCUCCAGGCUCCUGCUUGGUUUUCAUUGUGAUCUUUGACAGGGAAGGACCAUAUAGCUCAUUGGGUGACUGGUGUCAGAAGUCAGAUCUGGACUUCUGUUCAUCGCUGUCUCUUGGACAAGGUAAUGGUUUCUCCUAAGAUGAGACUGGAGUUAACAGAAGGGAACAGAUGGCCUCCUGAGAUUAUUGUUUUGUUUAAUGCAGGAAAAACAUCUGAUAUAUAAUACCCAGAAAAUGGUAUACUAAUGAGCAGUCCACUACCAAUGCUGAAAUCCACAUCACCACACAAAGGAGCUGUGUAAGGGGCCUCAAGGGGAAAGGUCCCUUGUCCUGGGCAUCAGAAGGCUCCUGCAUCACUGUAUCAAGUCACACUUCCUCAACUACCUGUUAAAGAAGAAGCAUGGCAGCUUUACCUUACAGAGGGGAAACUGAGGCUUGGAGAGAUGAAGCUGUCUAUCAGUGUUGUCUCUAAUGGAAAACCAAUUUAAGUUCUCAUAGCUAGUCUCUGGAUGUUAUGCUCAUAACCAAUUCCUAGACUAGGCUGAGACAAAUACUUGUGAGUUACUUAGAAUGAGUAAAUUUUAAAUAAUGGCAAAGAGAUUAGAAUGAGAGGGAAUGUCGACUAAAGGUCGAGAAAAGAGAUGGGUUAAUCACAAGAAUCAAACACCUGAGUAUCAAUCACACUGAGAUAGAUUGGUGUGUGAAUUAGUUUAUGUUAUUUUUAUAAAAUUGCAAUUAUAAGGAUAUGUAGAAAAGUUAUAUAAAAAUAUUCCAAGCAUCUGACUUUUUCUGAUGUGAAGAAGUCACAUGUAAGAAUGAGUAUAGUUGUCUUAAGUUUAAAGUGUCUUGAUUCUGGGUCUCACCAACGGUCUUACUGUGUUGGGCUAUGGUGCUGUGAGCUAUAAGAUCUGAGAUGGAUUAGCAACCCUGCAAAGUCCUCAUUUUUAAAAAAAUCGUAAUGACUUUGAAAUUAGGCAUUUUGACAUUGAUAAGUUGCUCCCCUGAAGUAUCACCCAUGAAUAUGGAGAAAAAGAGGGAGAGAGAGAGAGAAAGAGAUGAGAGAGAGAGAGAGAGAGAGAGAGAGAGAGAGAGAGAGAGAGAGACAGAGAGUGAGCGAGCACAUGUUUGCUUGUGAAGGCCAGAGAUCAACCUUCCGUGUCUUUCCUCAGGAACAGGCAUCCUCACUUAGACUUUAUUUCGCAGGGAUCUCUCACAGGACACAGGGCUGGGUGAUCCAGCAUGGUUGGUUGGUUACUGAGCUUCUGGGACCCUACUUUCUCUGCCGGCCCAGUGUUUGUUUGAAUAGGAGUUACACAGCACCAACUAGCCUUUUCUCCAAGGGACUCAAUCUCAGGUCAUCUUGCUUAGACAAAAAAGUACUUUACCUACUGCGCUAUCCAGGAAGACCUUAAUGCAUAUUUAAAUCUCUGUGUAGCUCCCAGUGAGAGAGUUUCAAGAUAAAAAUUCAUAAUUUAAGUUUAUACUGUUAAAUUAAAAUCUAUACUAUUAAAUUAGAAUGACAUAGCUAAAAUAUAAAGCAUCUAUCAGUGUCAAAAGAGCUGAUAUAUAACUAUAUAAUCAUAUAUAUCUGAUAUAUAAUCAUAUAUAAUCACAUUAUAUAUGAUAAAUAUAAAGAACACAUCCUAUGACUGUGGAGAACAAACUAUGUGAGAAGCUAUAACCCCCAGCAAUGCAAUGGUGAAAUUCCUUAUAUUUAAGGCAAAUGUGUUAAAUAUUAUCCCACAGGAUCACAGACUCACAGUGUAUUUUAGAUAUCGGGUACACAGAGAACACUGAGUGAAUGGACAGUUGUAGUCAUAUUAGAAAAAGUGAAAUUGGUUGGGGAUAGUGAUUGACAACUCUGUCCUUGUACCCAGAAGGCUGAAGCAGGAGGAUUGUGACUUUAAGCCCUACCCUUGUCUACACUGGGAGUCUGAAGUCAUUCUGGGCUACGGAGCAAAACCUUGACUCAGAAAAAUAAGUGUCACAACUGCUAUUUCACGGGGUGGGAUGGCUGGUACUGGGAAAAGACUGUAAGAAUCAAGGCUCAAUACUACCCUCUGGCUUGCCAAGAUAUUUAGCUCUCUUUACAUCUCUGACAAAGCAGACCUAUUUGUAAACAUGGAUAAAUAACUACUGUUUCUCUAUGAGAAGUCUUUCAUUUAAUUCACCUUCUCAUUAAUUUCUGCCAUUAAACACUUUCUCCCACCUGAGUUACAGAGCUCCAUCCACCCUUCAGGUGACUCCAUCCAACAGAACACCCUCCUGCCAGGCAUCUGGAGGAGUUGGCACUUCAUCAGCUCCACAAACAUGUUCCUCUCCUCUCACCUCCUCUGCAAACAGCCCCCUUCCCCCCCAUGACCCCUCAGGACUCCAUGAACUGCAUGGCCAGCCUCUCUGGGAUUUAGCAAGCUGCACCUUCUGCAGUGGACUUGACACUUUGACAGACACCUGUGCCAUUUGCUGAAAUUAUCUGUUUGUUUUCUGCAAAGCUACACAAAUAAAACCUUGGUUUGUCAAGGCAAAAUAGAGAUGCUUUGUGUGCCACACUUGAGAGAGGAACAAUGUAUUCUUGUUAGUAAAUCCAAAUAUUGCUUUGUGAAAGAUGGUUACUGAAAAGAAAAAGAAGAGGAAGAGGAAGAGGAAGAGGGAGAGGGAGAAGGAGAAGCAGAAGGAGAAGCGAAGGAGGAGGAGGAGAAAAGAGGAAGAAGAAGAAGAAGAAGAAGAAGAAGAAGAGGAGGAGGAGGAGGAAGAGGAGGAGGAAGAGGAGGAGGAACAAAAUAAAAUCCAGGAAUCUGGGCACAUGGUAAAAUACUGUUAUGAAGAAUAGAAAGUGGAGUUUAGCAAGGAAUAAGAAAAAAAAUUCUCUUUUAUGUAUGUUUGUCUUAACCCUUGAUUAUAUAUAUUCAUUUUACUUUACAUGUAUGAGUGUUUUUAACCCACGUAUGUCUGUGUAUCAUGUAGGUCUCUAGUGGUGGCAGAGGCCAGAAGAGUGCCUCAGGACUCCUGAAACUAGAGCCACAGAUUGUUAGAUUGUUGCAAGUCACCGUAUAGAUGCUGGGUAGUGAACUGAGAUUCCAUGAAAGAGUAGCCCACAUUCUUAACCACUGAGCCAUUUCUCCAGCCUCAUGUUCUGACAUGUAUUUAUAUAUACAGAUAAAAACCAUGAAAACACAACAUAUAUUUACACGUGUUAUCUAGAUAAUUCAAUAGAGAAGAACCAAAUAAGAAGGCAAUUAAGGGAUUGUGCUUCUAAUUAGAACACGAAGAUCACCCAUUGAUAGUGUGGCCAGAAGUUCUUCAAGUCUAACACUUGAGGGGUAAAAAAAAAUCUUUGCCUUUUAAUAUGAACUAUUCUUGGCAAAGCUGUUAUGGACUUGAACUGUGCCUUCCAGGUUUCUGCACUUAACACUGGUUGAACGCAGCGAUAAUCAACGGGUAACUAUUCAAGAGUAAAUACAACAUGGUAUUGUAACUUCCAAUGUCAUUAUCGCUUUAGAGAGAAAUGUUUCCAAGAGAGGGCCCACUCACAGUGGGAUUCCCAUGACCAAUGUUCAGGCUUUUUAUGCUGCUUCUACGAGAAGCAGAGUAUCAGGGUCCCCUGAAAUGUGUGAAGAGAUGUAGGGGUGCCAGAAGCAUGAGUGAAUAUUACGUAAGUUUGAAAUAGAAAGGGGGACAAACUUUAAACAGCUGACUAGUUUUGUUCUUUUUAUAUCACACAGAUAAUUAAAAACAGUGCGUUAGACACAGUUGCUUUAUUUCAUGUGCUUGAAGGAUUUGCCUGGCUAUGCACCACAUGAAUGUCUGGUGCCCAGACGUUAGAAGAGGUAUUGGAUGCUCUGGAACUGCAGUUACAGAUGACUGUGAGCUGCCAUGUGGGUUUUGGAAGCUGAACUUAGGUCUUCUGCAAGAGCUACAAGUGCUCUAACCACUGAACCUUCUCUCUAAGUUCAGCUCUAAGAAUUCUUGUUUUUUUUUUCAAUAUCCAGAAAUGUCUACUUUUGCUUAUCAGUCCUAGUAGCUAUGUACAGUAAAUUCCAGUAGCCUUGUAGAAUUUGUUCUAAAAAUUAAAAUGUGAACAAGUGAAUAGACAAACUAGAAAGUGAAUGAAUCUACACUUAGCCUUUAUAUACAGGAUCUAUAUAAUUUUAUAUGCAUAUUUAAUGCUACACAUAUUUAUUUCCUCUCAUUUACACCAUGUGUGCUGGAAUGGAUUAUAACAGAGCCAUGUGUUUUAUACCCUAACCAUAUUUCAGUUCUGUAUGUAAUCCUUCCCUGCCUAGAAGUGAGGAAAGCACAGUAAACAAUAUUAUCACCAUGCAGACUUUGCUUUUGUGCAGAGAUCAUGUGAUUACUUCAUUUACAGUGAACAACAACCUGUGUGAAUCGAGCCAUCCCUCCAUGCCAGCUCUUCAUGCUACAGAGGAGACGGUGCAAACAGAGCGUGUAAAACAGGGACUAAAUCCCAGGCUGACUGACCUUUCUCUGCCUGAUUCAACCCAUUUGGUCUGCUGGAUACUAGAUAUUAGUGUGGGUCUAGAAAAUACAGCCUGCAUGCAUUUAAAGACAAUAUGCUUUGCAGAGAAUCCAAAUAAGAUUAAGAUGCAAAGUGAUAUACAGUAUGUCUGGAUAAACCUUUAUGACCUAAAUGAAAUACUCUAAAUGGGCAUUUAAAUACUCAUCAUUAAAUGUUCACUGCAAAAGAAAAAAAAGUGCUAAAGUUUGCUUUCAAGUGAAAAUUGAAUGGGCCUGAAGAUUUUGGGUAGUAUUUUCCAUGACAUAGAACAGGGCAUAGUUGGGUGUGGAAAUGUUAACAUACACAUAGUGGGUGUGAGGGUCAUGUCUACUACCUAGGGUGACACAAAGGGGUUGAGGAGGGAUGUGAAUAGAUUUCCUUGCUGCCCAUCGCUAGAAAGUUAGAGUUGAUCCUUCAUUAGAUGACUUCAUAGGAGUCUCAAAUGUGGAGCUAGGUCUGCCUCUAAAAACUAGGUGGAUGCAAAACAGAUUCUCCAUGAUCUUAAGCACUGAUUGACUGUACAUCAAGUAUGUUCUUGUGACUUAAAGGUCUGUUAUAUUCUCUAUGCACACAAGGAUAUAUACUUGCCGAACAAGAAGUUCAAGGAGAGAUUAUGCGAAACCUUAACUACCCAAGCAAAGUCUCUUAGGUGACUGAGAGCCUGAGGCAAGGUAGGAGCCUGGAAUCUGGUAGACUUGGGGCCACACGUGUUUUGGUCAUUUUGUAUUAUUAUCAAACAAACAUGUCCUCUUCAAAUGUAUGCCAUGCUCUGAUAUUGAGCAAUUCAUUUGUCUACAAUUGUGAAACACAGCCAAGAAUUGGAAUGGCCAUAAAAAUUAAUUCUAGAGCGUUUUAACCAUUUGAAUUGAUAGACAAUGUCUUGAAUGGAGGGCAGAAGCUGCCACUCUGUAAUUAUGGGUUCACAGAGGCACAUCUUCUGCAGACAUCUUAAUUGUUCUUGUGUUCCAAGUUCUGGCUCUGUUAAACGUCAUACAUGACGUCACAGUCACUGUUCAGUUGACACAUCACCCUUGGCUCUAAUCUUUCCAGCACUGCUCUGUCUUCUGAUAUGAUGCAAAUAUGAAUAGAGCUAUACUCAAGACAUUACUAUGAACCUUCCUGGAAAAGGCUGACUUUAUCACUUGCCAGUAUGCAGCCCUCUUUACUUGGCAUCUCACCACCCACAUUUGUAGGUCCUCAAGGAAAGAUACUACUCUCUGGCAGCCUAGUUGGCUCAGAGACACUGCUGCCUCCGAAAACUGUGGCUUCUGUACUUCUAGAGUACCAUGCCGAUGUCUGCCUAUCACUGCUGCCUUUAGAAACAUGAGGUCAAACAAGACCAGGAUCUAGGAUAAGGCAGCUUGGGUGUGACCUUUCAAAGACUGGCUCCAAGCAACCUAUGUGACUUCGGAUGCAACAUCUUCACGUCUGCCUUAUGAUGUAGGGGAUGUGCCUUAAAAUGUAGCCCAGCCACAGGAUUAGUAAAUAUAUUAAAUGUACUAAAGAAUGUCCCUGAAAGUA